rnacentral:rRNA from 1 species
UACGGAGGGGGCAAGCGUUGUUCGGAUUUACUGGGCGUAAAGGGUGUGUAGGCGGUUGCGCAAGUCUGGUGUGAAAUCUUCACCGCUUAACGGGAAGAGGUCACUGGAAACUGCGUAACUCGAGUGUGGUAGAGGCAAGCGGAAUUCCUGGUGUAGCGGUGGAAUGUGUAGAUAUCAGGAAGAACACCUGUGGCGAAGGCGGCUUGCUGGGCCAUCACUGACGCUGAGACACGAAAGCGUGGGGAGCAAACGGGAUUAGAUACCCCGGUAGUCCACGCUGUAAACGGUGCGCACUAGGUGUGGGAGGUAUCGACCCCUCCUGUGCCGCAGUUAACACAUUAAGUGCGCCGCCUGGGGAGUACGGCCGCAAGGUUGAA